GAACCCGGGAGGUGGAGCUUGCAGUGAGCCGAGAUCGCGCCACUGCACUGCAGCCUGGGCGACAGAGUGAGACUCUGUCUCAAAAAAGAAAAAAAAAAAAGAUAAAAUUACCAGAAAAUAUUAAACAGGCAGCACUGAGAAGUGAAGGAAUAUUUGGGAGGAUCAGAAGCUUGGUCCUGAUUUUGCCAUCAACAGGAACUUGAUGACUUCAAGGGAGUCCCCAAACCCUGGGUUUCUGUUUUCUCAACUCUAACAUGAGGGGCUAGAUGCAUCUGGUUUAGUUAGUCUCCAUGAUGGUUUAGUUCGUCUCCAUGAUCCUGUGAAUUUCAGAUGUUGAAAAUCUUCGGAAAAGCCCUGAAAGAUGAACAGUCUUCACCAACCUCCUCCCUCCAGAAUAUUCCUCAAGAAUAUAAAAUGCCUCAUCAACAUGAGACAACAGCAGGAAGCACCCAUUCGUAGUAAUCCUCUGUAUGGAGGAGGCUGUUACAUAACCACAAAGGCACAAAGCUGCAGUUUUGAGAACAUCUUCCCACGCCAGUUCUAAGCAUUGACUUCAACUAUGGUUGCUAACACAAGAAUCGGCACUGGUGACUUUUGAGCCAUCAAUCAUCCUUUCCUAACACAUGAAUCUUUUGGAAAAUGGUCUCAAAUAGUCAAGACCCCCUGCUGGGAGGAGCUUCUAUCCUGCUCUGUGGAAGAAAUGGGCAUGCCAGAUGCC
rnacentral:lncRNA from 10 species